rnacentral:rRNA from 1 species
AGAGUUUGAUCCUGGCUCAGGAUGAACGCUAGCUACAGGCUUAACACAUGCAAGUCGAGGGGCAUCAGGAAGAAAGCUUGCUUUCUUUGCUGGCGACCGGCGCACGGGUGAGUAACACGUAUCCAACCUGCCCUUUACUCGGGGAUAGCCUUUCGAAAGAAAGAUUAAUACCCGAUGGCAUAAUGAUUCCGCAUGGUUUCAUUAUUAAAGGAUUCCGGUAAAGGAUGGGGAUGCGUUCCAUUAGGUUGUUGGUGAGGUAACGGCUCACCAAGCCUUCGAUGGAUAGGGGUUCUGAGAGGAAGGUCCCCCACAUUGGAACUGAGACACGGUCCAAACUCCUACGGGAGGCAGCAGUGAGGAAUAUUGGUCAAUGGGCGCUAGCCUGAACCAGCCAAGUAGCGUGAAGGAUGAAGGCUCUAUGGGUCGUAAACUUCUUUUAUAUAAGAAUAAAGUGCAGUAUGUAUACUGUUUUGUAUGUAUUAUAUGAAUAAGGAUCGGCUAACUCCGUGCCAGCAGCCGCGGUAAUACGGAGGAUCCGAGCGUUAUCCGGAUUUAUUGGGUUUAAAGGGAGCGUAGGUGGACUGGUAAGUCAGUUGUGAAAGUUUGCGGCUCAACCGUAAAAUUGCAGUUGAUACUGUCAGUCUUGAGUACAGUAGAGGUGGGCGGAAUUCGUGGUGUAGCGGUGAAAUGCUUAGAUAUCACGAAGAACUCCGAUUGCGAAGGCAGCUCACUGGACUGCAACUGACACUGAUGCUCGAAAGUGUGGGUAUCAAACAGGAUUAGAUACCCUGGUAGUCCACACAGUAAACGAUGAAUACUCGCUGUUUGCGAUAUACAGUAAGCGGCCAAGCGAAAGCAUUAAGUAUUCCACCUGGGGAGUACGCCGGCAACGGUGAAACUCAAAGGAAUUGACGGGGGCCCGCACAAGCGGAGGAACAUGUGGUUUAAUUCGAUGAUACGCGAGGAACCUUACCCGGGCUUAAAUUGCAGUGGAAUGAUGUGGAAACAUGUCAGUGAGCAAUCACCGCUGUGAAGGUGCUGCAUGGUUGUCGUCAGCUCGUGCCGUGAGGUGUCGGCUUAAGUGCCAUAACGAGCGCAACCCUUAUCUUUAGUUACUAACAGGUCAUGCUGAGGACUCUAGAGAGACUGCCGUCGUAAGAUGUGAGGAAGGUGGGGAUGACGUCAAAUCAGCACGGCCCUUACGUCCGGGGCUACACACGUGUUACAAUGGGGGGUACAGAAGGC